ensembl:misc_RNA
AAUGGCUGUUACUUGCAGCUGAUGAGCUCCAAAUAGAGCAAAACCAUUUAGGUCCUGUAGUACUGGCCCAUAAGCUU